rnacentral:misc_RNA from 1 species
AAUCUCAUAAACCGUGGCUCAGUUCAGAUCGUAGGCUGCAACUCGCCUACGUGAAGGAGGAAUCGCUAGUAAUCGCAGGUCAGCAUACUGCGGUGAAUACGUUCCCGGGCCUUGUACACACCGCCCGUCACACCAUGGAAGUUGGCCACGCCCGAAGCCGUUACUCCAACCCUUGUGGAGGAGGACGUCGAAGGUGGGGCUGAUGACUGGGGUGAAGUCGUAACAAGGUAGCCGUACCGGAAGGUGCGGCUGGAUCACCUCCUAACAGGGAGACAACACAAUGAUUUUGAUGCCUGAGUAGUUUUAUUCUUAGGCCGAAAUCCUGUCACCUUAGGUCGAUCGGUACCUCAGCAUUAAGAGCAGUGAUUGAUGAGCAAUCAUCAAGAGACUGAAGGAGAUGUUCAGUUCCUAAACUUUGUCUAGGUCACACCCCACAAGGGUUGAGUCUUCCUGGGCCAUUAGCUCAGGUGGUUAGAGCGCACCCCUGAUAAGGGUGAGGUCCCUGGUUCAAGUCCAGGAUGGCCCAUUCGGUGUUGGGGGUUUAGCUCAGUUGGUAGAGCGCCUGCUUUGCAAGCAGGAUGUCAGGAGUUCGAGUCUCCUAACCUCCACUGACCGAACUUAAUCUCCAUCUUCUGAAGAUUGGAAGGUGAACUCGAAGGUGUGUGUGAUUUAGAUGUGUCCGCUGACAUGAACUCAGCUUCCUGUCAUUCUAAGUGAAGAGUAUUGCUCUGAAUUUAGUUGAUAAGAUGC